rnacentral:lncRNA from 1 species
UUAUACCUUUUCCAUGUGGUCUACACCAGUAUGUGGGUCGAUAUACUCAUUCUCAUGGCUAAGCACAGUCAUAUAGUUUCUUCUCUAUAUUACACUUUUUGAGUUAUUUUUCUACUGGCACGGUAUGCUCUGUUCUCACAACUAAGCAUAGUAUGAUGCCUUCUAGUUUCCUCUGCUUAUCAUACUUCUUGAAUUAUUUUUCCACUAGUACAAUUUCAAUAAAAAUUGGUCCUAUAGUGGGAAGCUGUGGUAGGCACACCAAGGCCCUGAUGAGCUGCAAGCAUAACAAUAACUGUGUGGGGAAAUUUCUUAUCAAGUAACCUGUAAGAAAGGUGCGAUAUGGGCUAAACUGAACAAAAAAGUGUGAUCUCUAUGUGUGGCUUGAUGUGCCUCCAACUUUAGCCACUGAACCAAGAGCCUCAAAUUCUUUUAAUGCCUAGAUGUUAAGAAGUUGGGCUAAACACCCAGGUGCAUUUUAGUUGGUACGAACCCUUGGACUCUACUUCUAGUCUGGGUAGACAUCUAAGCAUCAGGAUGUUCUCCUCCAGGGGAGGCCCCUUAGGAGGAAGCUUUCCUCUGUAAGAACCAUCAUGAUGGUCAUCAAGAACAGUGGGCAUCAACCUGGGGCCAGGCAUCCACUUGAGAAGUGGGGAUCCCUGCUAGGUAGCCACCAUUUCAUAGAGCAGGAUUACCCAGAAGCAUUGAGGGAGUUGAUCGCAAGUGACAUUGAAAUAGUAGGAUGCCAUGGAACAUACCACAUAGCCAUGGAUCCUGGUGCUGCUGGUGGAUAUUGAUCAUCAACACUGUUCAAUUCUAAAUGCAAGUGAAGAUAGGCACUCCUAAUUUCUAACCUUUUUCCUGAUUUGGGAUGAGAUAUGCCAAGAUUCUAGCCAUCCAGAUUGGAAAGUGUGACAUGUGUACAAUAGCUUAAUUGCUGUUAUGGAGCAUGGAAACCAGUCAGUAUUGGAGAUGAAUUACAGUUAAAAGAAGAUCUGCCUGUUCAUUCCUCAUCAAAUUUUGCUUUUGCCUCCUAGAAUGACAAGACAGCUGCUGAACAGAGUGAAAAAUUAGUCAGCAAUUAUCUAGUCUGCGUUCCAAACCAUCACUGUCCUAAAUAUGGUAAAAAAUGGGAAUUAUUCAGCAAAGAAACAUCUAGAAACUCAGGGUUAUUUUGGAAAAAGUAAUCAAAAAAGCAAUUUAUCCUUAAUUUAAACAUACUCUAGGAAAUAAGUUAUUAUUGUUGGUAUUGUUAUUAAAUUAUUAAGAGUUUAGGUUUUUAGGGCUACACCUAUAUCAAUCAGUCAUCUUCCUGCCAGUUUGUAUUUGGUUCGAGUCAAGGCCGCACCUAUAUCGAUCGAUCAUUUGUUUUGUCAGUUUGAGUUUUUGGGAUCGCACCUAUAUCGAUCGGUCAUUGUCAUGUCAGUUCAGUUUGAGAUUUUAGGGUCGUAUCUAUAUCGAUCGGUCAUUGUCCAUGUUAGUUUGAGUUUUUGGGGUCGCACUUAUAUCGAUUGACCAUCUUUCUGUCAGUUUGAGUUUGAGUUUUCGAGUUGGGACCGCACCUAUAUCGAUCGGUUAUCUAUGACUGAUUGAUAUAGGUGCGGUCCCAAAAACUCAAACUCAAACUGAUAAGAUAAUGACU